rnacentral:rRNA from 1 species
CCUACGGGAGGCAGCAGUGGGGGAUAUUGCACAAUGGGGGAAACCCUGAUGCAGCGACGCCGCGUGGGUGAAGAAGCGCCUCGGCGCGUAAAGCCCUGUCAGCAGGGAAGAAAAUGACGGUACCUGAAGAAGAAGCCCCGGCUAACUACGUGCCAGCAGCCGCGGUAAUACGUAGGGGGCAAGCGUUAUCCGGAUUUACUGGGUGUAAAGGGGGCGCAGACGGCGAUGCAAGCCAGGAGGGAAAGCCCGGGGCCCAACCCCGGGGCGGCUCUUGGAACUGCGUGGCUAGAGUGCAGGAGGGGCAG